UGUUCGGGAAAGUCGUUCCUUGGUAGUCAGAUGCCAAAAUUCAGGCCGGUCUACAGGCCUGUUUGUCAUAAGUAUGCAGUUCGAUAUGAGACGGUUCCGUGAUUUCCAGGGAUGAGGUGUAUUCCCACGACUGGGGAACACCGAUAGUCGUUGUUUCAAAAUGAACAUAGGUCGAUAAUCUGGUUUCUGGCAUAAUACUGGUUUUAGGACCACUCAAGGUAUGCGAUGAUGUACAGAUUUUGGUAACUACCGUACGACCCAGGUCUGGUGACUGGGGGUGGGGGUGGGGGUUCAGGGCACAGCAGAAGAGGGAAGAAACCACAGCAGGAAAAAGCAUGUGCGUUUGGCACGGACACCUCUCGAGGUCGCUUCCUAGAUCCCCUUACCCGCUUCCCUGGAGGCGGUCCCUCCUCCACAGGCUGACCCCCGGUGGCCGCGUUUGUGAUGUGUUACUCUUCUAACAGGUGUUUUUUGUCAGAGUUGAUUGUGCCUAAGGAAGACAUUUGACCCAAGCCGUGUUUAAAGGAUGCUGUCUCCCACGAACUGAAAUGGAUGGGGAGGGUUAGACAUACAGGGUGGAAGUCACAGGAGCCGAAGUCAGACUAAAGGGAAUUCUGUGACCAGACGGUCCACGGAGUCCCACUGCUGAGACCCCUGGAAAUGAUCUGGUCUUUCCCCGUCUCACUUUUUCUCGGAGGUCAUGAGAUACCAUAAUGUUCUUCCAAUAGGUUUGCUUUUUGCUUAACUCCAGCCAGAGUUGGUUCUUUGGUUUAUAACCAAAAGUACAGCUGAUACGGCCAGUCGGAAUGAAGUUAAAUGAAUGAAUAGUAAAAGUUGAUAAAAUGCAAACAAUUCCUUCUCAAAGGGUUUAUGAUAACUGAAGUCACAUACGAACAACUCUCUUCAGUUAGUGUUUUGGUGUAAUUUCACCGGCCCCCUGAUUCACGUGUGCCGCUCGCCACAGGCACUGUUUCUGUCAUCUCCGUGUUCAGCGUCCGUGCUCCACCUGCCUUCUGUUUUCUCGCCGCCAUGAAAUCGUAAGUGUCCCGAGGAGGAGCCGCAAGUGGUCUAUUCUGAGAGUAGCAGAAGGUGACCAGAGUAGUUAAGAGGACAACAGGACAGCCAGCUUUAUUGCACUGACCCUGUGACCUAUGCAGUUUCUUAAAUCCCCGGUAGGAAUUCUGUGACAUUUAAAAUGGUACAGAGAGGACACUCUUCAGUGGCUACCAUCGGUUAGUGAUUUUCCACUCGUCACAUUCCAUAAGGAUGUGUGGAAAUCCUACUGGAAAUAGAGAUCACAUUUCUUCACAAAAUCACAGUCGUAAUCUUAUAACUCAAAGAGACUGUGAUGGUCGAGGCUAAGCCUCCAUUUUGGAGCUAAGCCUGCUGAGGAAAACAGAGGCUGGAAGAUGUGCCUGAAGUCGCAGAGCCGGUGAGUCCUUGACUUCCAAACCAGUAAGCGUCUCAGCUCGCACGGCCAGCCUUCCUGAGCACUUGUGCGCUCUGUCGUGUCCCGGAUGCCUUUCAGCGGUGUCUCGCCUCUGAUACUUUCUCAGUUGACAUUUGGAACCUGCGAGGUCCUCGUGGGUUUCAUGCGUGAGGAAGGCCUUCACGAGGUCUCUAAGGGCAAUUGGAGAAGCGAAGACAGGAGGCAGGGCACCCUGGGCAGAGUCAGAGACUUGGGAGAGGGCGUAACAGCGCGGGGUGCUGUGGGACAGUGAGGUGACGGGCCUGGUUGGACUGAAGGGCAUUCAGGUGUAGCCGGAAGUAGAGAGACGAGCUCCUGUUCUUCCUCACGUCCGGCUCACAUGCAUCCUCAUCAGCGACACUGUCCCAGUCUCCUCAGAUGCAGUGAAAAAAGCUCCUUUUCUACGAUCACACUGUAUUUCAUUCCUGAGCGGAGCCAAGCGUCACAUUAUAUCGUGAGGACUGUGUACGCGUGUGGCCCGAGGGCCGGGGUCAUAUACUGGACACCUAUGUGCUGACAGUACCUUGUAUGGUACCUGUAUAAGGCAGGUGCUCUGUACACGGUUCUCACAGUUUCCAGUUGUUUUACACCCGGCCCACUUACUCACAUUUCCUGUAAGAUCUGUGUAGACAUUUGCAUUUUCAACUCCUACUUUAGAGAAUAAAAUCUAAAUUUUUUGUGUAGGCUCAUGGGCCCCUUCAUGAACUGACUUUUAGCCACUUUUAUGGCCUGCUUCCUCUAGAUUAAUUAAUUAGUUAAUCAGUUAACCAGCUAUUUACUGAGUACCUGUCACAUGUAGUGAAUCUCAAAGUCCCACCUUGUCAGUUGUUUGUCAUUCUGAGCUCUCCGUUUCUCUCUUGCUAGCAUUUGUUGUUGCUUUUGCCUGGAAUUUUCCUCCUUCUCCCAGCCUAUUUCUGGGGCUCGACUCUGGGUGACCUGCACUCCAAGAGCGUGUCUGACCCCCCGCCACCACGUCCUCGCAGCCCCCUGCAGGCUUCUGCGGUGGCCGGCCUGCCGUCGGAUAUGCUUAUUUCGGCAUGUCUGCCUUCCCGAUCACACCGCGUGGGUCUUGAGGUGGAGGCCACGUCUUUUUCUUCUUCUCCACUGGCCGUCGGACCCUCUGGCACACGAUGGAGUUAACCCACAUGGGUAAAGUGUGAAAAUGAGUGAUUAAAGUUUUCUUAUUGGAUCAGCAUGGUGGUUUAACACAAACACACACAUACACUUCUCAUGGAAUUUGGCUUCACAGAAACGUUCAGUGAAAGCUCAUUCUAUGGAACAAAUAAAGUGAAGCGUCGCUGGUUACAGAGAAGGAGUUCUUCAUUUCCUCAAUGAUUUGUAAACCGCUGGGCUAGAUAGACGAUUUCUAAGGUCUGCUUCGGAUCUAAUGUUUUCUGAGUUUUUAUCUCUUAAAACCUGAAGUGGGUAAUUAAACAAAUAUCUCAGCCCGGUUAGCAAUGGUAUGUAAAGGGCAUUAGUCAGAGCCAAAACAAAAUGAAAACAAACAAAAAAUCUAAAUCUGAAAUUAAGCAGACAAAUGAAUCCAGUAUUAUUGUACAUUUAAGUCUUAAUUAAGUUUCCAGUAUGCUCCAACACCUGCUAUAAACACGGAGAAAAAUCCUGUUUUCUGAGGUCCCAGUGCCAGGUUUCAACAUCCCAGUAUGUAAGAGAUCCUCCUCCCCGCUCCCCCCCACCCCCCAAAAAAAAGUUUACAGGGAGAAAAAUACAGCCCGGGAAGAAGUAGCAAGUCUCCGUUCUAUCAGUCCAGGGUGAGCUCGGUUCUCUCAGGGAGGGCUUAAAUCAUCUGGGCUACCUUUGGUCUUUUGUUUGGAUUACUUCUGACUUCUUUUCAUCUGUAAUAUGCAACAACAAUAGUCCUUUCUCAUAGGGUUGUUGUGAAAAGUAAAAAUGAUCACGCUCGUUAAGUGCUUAGUACAGACCUGACGAAAUGGACAAUAGCUAUUAUCUCGAGUCAAUGAAGUACUUCAACCACUUAAAAAGAUAGUAUGAAUAAUAAUGUAUAUGGAUAUUUGUCGAAUGAAUAGUAGUUCACUGUGAGCAGAGAACUGUCCUAUUGAUUUUAGGUGCAUUAAUUUGUUUAAGCCUCACAAUGCUCCCAUUAGACAGGUGCUGCUAUUGUAAUUUACUUUAUAGAUCGAGUCUCUGAGAGGCCGGUUAUUUUGUCCUUUUUAUAGGGAAAGUUAUUCUCUGAAGUUAUCUUGGUUGGCAAGGUCGGGACUCAAGCCCAGGUCUGUCUCAAGCCCAGUUGGGGUUUUCCAUUGUUACCGCCUUUACUCCAGUAAGUCCAAAUAAUAAAGCUUCGCCUUUCCCGAGAACUUAAAAUGCUGUAGGUACUUCCCAGUCAUUCAGCAAAUAUUCAUUAAUAUAUAUACUGGCUCAUUUAAUUGCUGUAAGAACCCUAAUGUCCCAACAACACAGUGUUACAUCUGUUUCCUUGUUUAUUCUUGUCGAAGAAAGAACUUCCAUCUGAAUAUUGGAAGCAAGAGUCUUGAGAAUCAUCCCGGCUGGGCUGUUUAAGCCACACGCCUAACAGUACACCAGUGACCUUGGCCCGGGCAGAGAACGUUUGCUGGCCGAAGUCACCCAAGGUCUGCCCCUGAGAGAGUCGGCGGCAUGGUGAGAGGUGACAACGAUGGCCUGUGCGAGUCCCAGAUGAGGAAGUCGAGUGUUCCAGUUCCCAUCGCUUCUUCCAGACUGCAUCAGAACCACCAUUUAUGCCGCUUCCGGAUCAGGAAGGCAGACGGGGCUGGCUCGUCUCCUCCACAGAGCUGCGGCCUCGGCCGGAGGACUUGAAGGCUGAGACUGUGGUCAUCUGAGGGCUCGUUUGCGCACAGGCCUGGUGCUCGAUGUGACGGACUCGUGAUAUCUUCACGGGGACCGGUUGGCACUGCCUAGGAGCGCGGGGGAUGGUUUCAGAGGUGAGUGUCGAGAACGAGAGCGAGCGAGCGAGCACGCGCAAGCAUUUUCGUGACUAGCCUCGGAAGUCAUGGCUGUGUUAAGCCACCUUCUAUUCACUGAGUGACAGCGUGACCAUGAGGAAUGCCCAAUUUCAAGAGGAGACGCUGACUUCUCUUUCUGACGGAAUGGCAAGGUUCUGGAGAGAAAUACUGACGUGACUGCUUUUGGAAGCUGCAGUUCACCGCACAGAGGCUUAGAGAGAUGAAACAGCUCUCCCAGCCGGACAGCUGGUAAGUGGAUUGACUUGCCUCUCAUUUUGUGUGUUUGAGCUUUGAGCUCAUCGCACUGUGCAAAGCGUCAUGGGAUCGGUAAAAUCUUGGAAGAACUAUUGCGACUAACUAAGCAAAGAAAGUUACGUGCACAACUUAAAUGCAGAGUUUCGAAUCUCACAGAAGGGCCUUGGGCUUCCCGAUUUGCAGAUCAGCGAGACAAUAAUGUGUCCCUUUUCCCAAAGCGUUCUAAUGUCACCUAUUCACUUUUUACUUUACUUUACAGGUGUUGUUUAUGCACCUGUAACUCACCACCUCUCCCAGCACAGACUGGUCACUUGUUUUAUUCAGGGCAGAAUCUUUGUCUAAUGUGAUUCAUCUUUCUACUCAGACGACACCUGUUACGAGAAGCUGGCUCACAGUAAACCCUCAAUAAAUGCUGGCCCAUGAGUAAAUACGAGUUUCUACUAGCACGGAAUAGCAGAAAAGCGUAACUGUGUCAUGUUGAACUGCUCCAGGACGCUUGGAUUCUGGGUAUUUUGAGGGCCAAGUCAUGUAAUUCAAGCAGAAGUGCUUUAAAAUGGUGAACGUCAGAGGUGCUUUGUGGUGGGCACGGCAGUGGUGGGCCGAGUCCUAGGGUGCCCGUGAACCUGUGAGGAAGGGGAUGCAGCCGUCUAACCUUGGCCUCUGACCUGUGGCGUAGACGGGUUUUCUAGGAAUAACGAUAAAUCACGGUCACAAGAUCAAAGUAAAUAUAACACGAAUGUAGGCAGGUCUCUUUCUCAGUAUGUGUCUGUCUGUCACCUUCCUUUCUUUCUUUCGUCUGUCAUCUAUAUCUAUUUGUAAUUUUAACAACUCGUAACUGAAAUCAUGUUGUUUUUUAAUAUUCUAUUUUGUUUUUACUUUUUAUAUCUUAGAGUGCUUUUCAUGGAAGUACACGCAGAUUUACCAGUUUUAUAUUGCCGUACAAUUUUGUUGUGUGGCAUUAUAUUGGAAUAAUUCAACGAUAAAUAUAUUGAAAUAAUUCCCUGUUCAUGGACAUUAGGUCGAUCCCAUAUUUUUCUGUUUUCUGUUUUCACGCGGUCGAUCCAGGGAAAUCGUAGCAUAGCAGGGUAAAGAAGGCUCGUGUUAAUAAAUGAAGGAUUUCGAAUUAAUGGCUGGUUCGCGGUUCCGACUCUGCCGCUAGCUGGUUGUGUGAUCUCGGGCAAGCGACUUGUCCUCUUCCAGCCUGCGUUUCCUCGUCCGUGAAACAGGCAGCGCCAGCAGCAGCCUUUCGCUGGUCGAAAAGAGCAAAUGGUGUGGCUAUAUGCAUCUUCUGAAGCUGCGCUUGCUUGACUCAGCGUCUCAGAGUCCUCGCCACUCCACGCUGCUUCAGGACCGAAGUACAGAUGCCACGUUGAGGCCCUGCGGCCCUUUGACCCAUCUCGCCAGCUUCAUCUACAAUUUUCUCCCGUCAGAAAUUUUCGCAAGAUGAAGCUGCCCGUUAUUCCCCGGUGGGCGGUGUGCCGCGGGGUGCCCGGGCUGCCUGUGUCCGUUCUUGCCCUGCCACCUCCUCGCUGCGUAGCUUGGGUAAACGAGUCAGGCUCUCUGUGCCUCACUAAAGAAGGAUGGCGAUGGUGCCUGCUUCAUAGGGUUAUUAGGAGGAGCGUAAGCGUUCAUAUAUGUAAAAGCACAGAAAAUCGUGCGUGACGUGGAAAGAAUUAAAUACAUGUCAGCAAAAGAUGGC